rnacentral:rRNA from 1 species
AGCUCCAUAGCGUAUAUUAAAGUUGUUGCAGUUAAAAAGCUCGUAGUUGAAUUUCGGGAUCAAUAUUUCGGUCAUGCCGUUGGUAUGCACUGUUAUCAUUGAUUUCUCACCUUCUAAAGAACCGUAAUGCCAUUAAUUUGGUGUUACGGGGAAUUAGGACUGUUACCUUGAAAAAAUUAGAGUGUUUAAAGCAGGCUCACGCUUGAAUAC